UGGGCGUAAGCGCGCGCAGGCGGUUUCUUAAGUCUGAUGUGAAAGCCCACGGCUCAACCGUGGAGGGUCAUUGGAAACUGGGGAACUUGAGUGCAGAAGAGAAAAGCGGAAUUCCACGUGUAGCGGUGAAAUGCGUAGAGAUGUGGAGGAACACCAGUGGCGAAGGCGGCUUUUUGGUCUGUAACUGACGCUGAGGCGCGAAAGCGUGGGGAGCAAACAGGAUUAGAUACCCUGGUAGUCCACGCCGUAAACGAUGAGUGCUAAGUGUUAGAGGGUUUCCGCCCUUUAGUGCUGCAGCUAACGCAUUAAGCACUCCGCCUGGGGAGUACGGUCGCAAGACUGAAACUCAAAGGAAUUGACGGGGGCCCGCACAAGCGGUGGAGCAUGUGGUUUAAUUCGAAUCAACGCGAAGAACCUUACCAGGUCUUGACGUCCUCUGACAACUCUAGAGAUAGAGCGUUCCCCUUCGGGGGACAGAGUGACAGGUGGUGCAUGGUUGUCGUCAGCUCGUGUCGUGAGAUGUUGGGUUAAGUCCCGCAACGAGCGCAACCCUUGAGCUUAGUUGCCAGCAUUUAGUUGGGCACUCUAAGGUGACUGCC
rnacentral:rRNA from 2 species